rnacentral:rRNA from 1 species
GACGAACGCUGGCGGCGUGCUUAACACAUGCAAGUCGAACGGAAAGGCCCUGCUUUUGUGGGGUGCUCGAGUGGCGAACGGGUGAGUAACACGUGAGUAACCUGCCCUUGACUUUGGGAUAACUUCAGGAAACUGGGGCUAAUACCGGAUAGGAGCUCCUGCUGCAUGGUGGGGGUUGGAAAGUUUCGGCGGUUGGGGAUGGACUCGCGGCUUAUCAGCUUGUUGGUGGGGUAGUGGCUUGCCAAGGCUUUGACGGGUAGCCGGCCUGAGAGGGUGACCGGCCACAUUGGGACUGAGAUACGGCCCAGACUCCUACGGGAGGCAGCAGUGGGGAAUAUUGCACAAUGGGCGGAAGCCUGAUGCAGCAACGCCGCGUGCGGGAUGACGGCCUUCGGGUUGUAAACCGCUUUCGCCUGUGACGAAGCGCGAGUGACGGUAAUGGGUAAAGAAGCACCGGCUAACUACGUG